rnacentral:rRNA from 1 species
CCCAGACAGCCAGGAUGUUGGCUUAGAAGCAGCCAUCAUUUAAAGAAAGCGUAAUAGCUCACUGGUCGAGUCGGCCUGCGCGGAAGAUGUAACGGGGCUAAACCAUGCACCGAAGCUGCGGCAGCGACACUGGUGUUGUUGGGUAGGGGAGCGUUCUGUAAGCCUGUGAAGGUGUGUCGUGAGGCAUGCUGGAGGUAUCAGAAGUGCGAAUGCUGACAUAAGUAACGAUAAAGCGGGUGAAAAGCCCGCUCGCCGGAAGACCAAGGGUUCCUGUCCAACGUUAAUCGGGGCAGGGUGAGUCGACCCCUAAGGCGAGGCCGAAAGGCGUAGUCGAUGGGAAACGGGUUAAUAUUCCCGUACUUGGUGUUACUGCGAAGGGGGGACGGAGAAGGCUAUGUUGGCCGGGCGACGGUUGUCCCGGUUUAAGCGUGUAGGUGUGUGUUCCAGGUAAAUCCGGUUCACUUUAACACUGAGGCGUGAUGACGAGGCACUACGGUGCUGAAGCAACAAAUGCCCUGCUUCCAGGAAAAGCCUCUAAGCAUCAGGUAACAUCAAAUCGUACCCCAAACCGACACAGGUGGUCAGGUAGAGAAUACCAAGGCGCUUGAGAGAACUCGGGUGAAGGAACUAGGCAAAAUGGUGCCGUAACUUCGGGAGAAGGCACGCUGACACGUAGGUGAAGUGAUUUACUCAUGGAGCUGAAGUCAGUCGAAGAUACCAGCUGGCUGCAACUGUUUAUUAAAAACACAGCACUGUGCAAACACGAAAGUGGACGUAUACGGUGUGACGCCUGCCCGGUGCCGGAAGGUUAAUUGAUGGGGUCAGCGCAAGCGAAGCUCCUGAUCGAAGCCCCGGUAAACGGCGGCCGUAACUAUAACGGUCCUAAGGUAGCGAAAUUCCUUGUCGGGUAAGUUCCGACCUGCACGAAUGGCGUAAUGAUGGCCAGGCUGUCUCCACCCGAGACUCAGUGAAAUUGAACUCGCUGUGAAGAUGCAGUGUACCCGCGGCAAGACGGAAAGACCCCGUGAACCUUUACUAUAGCUUGACACUGAACAUUGAGCCUUGAUGUGUAGGAUAGGUGGGAGGCUUUGAAGUGUGGACGCCAGUCUGCAUGGAGCCGACCUUGAAAUACCACCCUUUAAUGUUUGAUGUUCUAACGUGGACCCGUAAUCCGGGUUGCGGACAGUGUCUGGUGGGUAGUUUGACUGGGGCGGUCUCCUCCUAAAGAGUAACGGAGGAGCACGAAGGUUGGCUAAUCCUGGUCGGACAUCAGGAGGUUAGUGCAAUGGCAUAAGC